GGAGAGGUGGCCGAGCCCGGUUGAAGGCGCCUGACUCGAAAUCAGGUGUGCCCGGAAGGGCACCGGGGGUUCAAAUCCCUCCCUCUCCGCCA
rnacentral:tRNA from 1 species